rnacentral:rRNA from 1 species
UCGAGAAUCUUUCGCAAUGGGCGAAAGCCUGACGAAGCGACGCUGUGUGAGUGAUGAAGGCCUUCGGGUUGUAAAGCUCUUUCGCUUGGGAACAAGAGAGGUUGAUGAAUAAUCAGCUGAUUUGAGGGUACUUAAGUAAAGAAGCACCGGCUAACUCCGUGCCAGCAGCUGCGGUAAUACGGAGGGUGCAAGCAUUAAUCGGAUUUAUUGGGCGUAAAGGGCGCGUAGGUGGGUUUGUAAGUCAAGUGUGAAAUUCCGGGGCUCAACUUCGGAACUGCACGUGAAACUACAAGUCUUGAGGAUUGGCGGAGAAAACGGAAUUCCACAAGUAGCGGUGAAAUGCGUAGAUAUGUGGAAGAACACCGGUGGCGAAGGCGGUUUUCUAGCUUAUUCCUGACACUGAGGCGCGAAAGCAAGGGGAUCAAACA